GUCCCCGUAGUUUAAUGGAUAAAACAAGGAUCUCCUAAGUCCUGGAUCCAUGUUCGAUUCAUGGCGGGGACAC
rnacentral:tRNA from 1 species